rnacentral:rRNA from 1 species
AUUAGUUUGAUCCUGGCUCAGGUUGAACGCUGGCGGCAUGCCUUACACAUGCAAGUCGAACGGCAGCAUGAUCUAGCUUGCUAGAUUGAUGGCGAGUGGCGAACGGGUGAGUAAUACAUCGGAACGUGCCCUGUAGUGGGGGAUAACUAGUCGAAAGAUUAGCUAAUACCGCAUACGACCUGAGGGUGAAAGUGGGGGACCGCAAGGCCUCAUGCUAUAGGAGCGGCCGAUGUCUGAUUAGCUAGUUGGUGAGGUAAAGGCUCACCAAGGCGACGAUCAGUAGCUGGUCUGAGAGGACGAUCAGCCACACUGGGACUGAGACACGGCCCAGACUCCUACGGGAGGCAGCAGUGGGGAAUUUUGGACAAUGGGGGCAACCCUGAUCCAGCAAUGCCGCGUGUGUGAAGAAGGCCUUCGGGUUGUAAAGCACUUUUGUCCGGAAAGAAAUCGCACUUACUAAUAUUAGGUGUGGAUGACGGUACCGGAAGAAUAAGGACCGGCUAACUACGUGCCAGCAGCCGCGGUAAUA